UGGGACUGAAGCUUCGGUUGAUUUCCCCGAGGGACAGCGGCGAAAGGGAGAGUAACGCGUAGUUACCUACCCCAGGGUCCGGGAUAGCCGCGGGAAACUGCGGGUAAUACCGGAUGAUAUCUGCCUCCUUUCGAGGCGGCGGAUCAAAGGUGAGAUUCCGCCCUAGGAGUGGACUGCGUCCUACUAACUUGUUGGUAGGGUAACGGCCUACCAAGGCAUUGAUGGGUAGCGGGCGUGAGAGCGUGGCCCGCCUCACUGGGACUGAGACACUGCCCAGACACCUACGGGUGGCUGCAGUCGAGAAUCUUCGGCAAUGGACGAAAGUCUGACCGAGCGACGCCGCGUGCGGGAUGAAGGCCUUCGGGUUGUAAACCGCUGUCAGUUGGGAGGAGAUCUGGUGGGGUUCUCCCCUCCAGUUGACCUAUCUUCAGAGGAAGUCCGGGCUAAGUUCGUGCCAGCAGCCGCGGUAAGACGAACCGGACAAACGUUAUUCGGAAUCAUUGGGCUUAAAGGGUGCGUAGGCGGUGCGGUAAGUUGGGUGUGAAAUCCCUCGGCUCAACCGAGGAACUGCGCCCAAAACUACCGUGCUAGAGGGAGACAGAGGUGAGUGGAACUGAUGGUGGAGCGGUGAAAUGCGUUGAUAUUAUCAGGAACACCAGUGGCGAAAGCGGCUCACUGGGUCUCUUCUGACGCUGAGGCACGAAAGCUAGGGUAGCGAACGGGAUUAGAUACCCCGGUAGUCCUAGCUGUAAACGAU
rnacentral:rRNA from 1 species